CUUGGUUUGAAGUCCAAGGUUUAUUGUGAAAAUGAUUUGAAUGAUAAAAGUCUCUUGGUUUGAAGUCCAAGGUUUUUUAGGAAAAGAGUGUGAUGAAACCACUUGGUUUAAAAUCCAAGAGUUUAAGAAAAAAGAAGUUUGAUUGAUUGAGUUUGAUUUAGAAAAAAAAAGAGGCGCGAACACUUGGUUUGAAGUCCAAGGUUUUUUGUGAAAAUGGUUUGAAUGAUAAAAAUCUCUUGGUUUGAAGUCCAAGGUUUUUUAAGAAAAGAGUGUAAUGAAAUCACUUGGUUUAAAAUCCAAGAGUUUGGAAAAAAAAAGUUUUGAUUGAUUAAAUUUGAAAAAAUGCAACUUUGGUUUAAAAUCCAAGUGCUUUUGUAUUGAAAAUAUUUUUGUUUUGUGUUUUGUUUUUGGAAAAGGGUUUUGAAAGAGUAAAUGAUUUUUUGAGAUUUUUGAUGUUUUGGAAAAAAUGUUUUCUUUGAUUUGAUUUUUUUUGAAGAGGUUUUGACCUCGAUUUU
rnacentral:lncRNA from 1 species